UUAAAUUUAUUUUAUUUUUAUAAAUAAUAGGUUUGGUAUUUAAAUAUUUAUAUAUAAUAUUAUUAUAUAUAUUUCACGUAUAAUAUAUAUUUUAGUUUAUUUUAGAAAAAUUUAUUUGUUGAAAUAAGAAAAAGAAAAUUGUUGGUUAAUGGGCAGAUAUGCGUAUAAGUAAAUUACGUGUUUAACCAUAUAAUUUUAUAAAAUGUAAAAGAAUUUUCAACCGAUUUUAACAAAUAUAUAAAUAGUUAAAAAACAGAAAUUAAAUUACGUUUAAUUUGUUACAUUAGUUUCCCAAUCGCAGCAAUUAUACAAUUCCUAUUAAUAUCAGUUAAUAUUAUUAAUUUAAACCAUAUAAAUAAAUUAAAUAAAUAUAUUUAAAUUGCUAAUUUCCUCGGCCAAUACCGUAUCCCGAAAUAGCAGCGAAAAUAUUAUAAUAAUUAUAAAUUUUAUAUAUUAACGCGUUUAAAAUUGGUGGAUUAUUAUUACGUAAAUUUUGAAAAUAAUUAGUUAAAUUAUUAUAAUUUAAAUUUCCUGGAAUUUUAUUACCCGGAUUAUACCGUUAACCAAUACUUGUUCCCAAUUAUUAUUUUGAACGAAAAGAAAUAUUAUAUUGGUUAUAAACCCUUUAGCCCGACAUAUAUAAUAAAUAUAAUUUACAAUUCCAAAUAUAUUCGAAAAACCCAAAGAAAACAAAUUUUUGGACCGUAUAUUUGAAAAAUUUGAAAUCCGUCCCAACGACCAAAAAAAAAUCGAUCUGGUAACGUUGGAAAAUAAUAUAGCAAGUUUUUCGGAAUAUUUAAAUAAAAUAAUAAUUAUUUAAAAAAAAGCAUUAAUUAUUAAAAUAAUUUACAAUUUUGGAAAACGUUAUUA
rnacentral:sRNA from 1 species